UUCUGUGUCCUCAGAAGGAAAUCCACAUCUGCUAUAGUUACAAGAUUGCCAUUGCUGAAAAUCAGACCUAGAGUUUCAUCCUGUUACCAACUGAAUUACAACACACAUUGAACUUCCAGGAUCACAGAGUGUCUAACAACUUACAGACAUUGACUGGGAAGAAAAUCACAUUGGAAAACUGGAAUGUUAACACAUAGGAGGAGCUUGAUGUGGCCAAGGAAACAGAGUCACUCUAUUAUGACGAGUCUUGUUUUGUUACUGACAACAGCCUAUCCACUUCUAAGAAGGUUAAUGUUGCAUUUCUCAGGGAAACUGUUUCUCUAAAGGACAAGACAGUCUCCUCAUCGCCCACUCCCACUGCUACUCCUCUACUACCUGUCGCGGUCAGUCUUUCCUGUCAACUUGAUUGGAUUCAGAAUCAUUCAGGAGACAGAUCUUUGGCAACUCCAGUUUCAUCAGCUCCCAAAGCCAACUCUCAGAAAGAGAAUAUGGAAUAAGGAACAUGGAAAAUGAACCAGUGGCACCACUCUUGAGCAGAACGGCAGCAAUAUGGAGUUUAACAGCUUAUGAAGUGUGGACAAAGGGAAGACGAGAAAGUACCUUUGAAAGAGGAGUGUUUAUGGCAGAUGUGGUGGCUCCAGUCUGUAAUACCAGCACUGGGCAUUCUAGCCAAGACAGGAGGACCACCACGAUUUUGAAGCCAUGUUGGGCUAUAGUAUGAGAGUCUGUCUCAAAAAAGAAUAAAAAACAGUUUAUCGGUUGAUGACAAUUGACAGUGGCUUUAAAAUGAGAAUGUGUAAAACACAAGGUUUUCUUGUCUGAGAAUAGAAAAUAGGAGUCUAGAUGUUUGGGACAUUUGCCCUUUAUUCUUCCAGUGUAACUAAUACUGUUAAAUAACUACCAAAAAUUGAAAAAAAUGUUCUAAUGUUUUGCGCCAGUCAACAGGGCAAUUUGAUUUGCCCACAGCGCACUGGAAAUCUUUCUUAAGAGUCUUUAGUGUCUCAGAAGCUGUUUCCAUGCACACUUUCAGUGCUUUUAAAGACUCCAUUUAAGUAUAUCCAGGUAUGCCCAGGUGGAAAAGCAUUUACUUGCCCUAUUUUGAAACAUACCCUUGCUUUCUCACCCAAUUUAUAGCCAGACAACACUCAUACUGUUGCUCUCAUUUUCUUUUCCAGGGCUGCCUGGAUUUCUUAAUGCAUAUCCAUAUUUUUAGAUCAGAUAAAAUGAGUAAGAGUUCGAGUAAGAAGUUCGUUCCCUGAAAAAUGCAGAGUGUGACUCAAAGAAGAUGUUAAUGAAAUGAAACACUGAAAGCUUUGAGAAGUGUUGAUAAACUGCAACUUUCCUUCCAUGUUCGAGGGCCUGCCUUUGUGUCUCUGAAGCAGUGCUCUGAUGACACUUGGUACACCAUGUGGGUAGCUGGCAUUAGAUGGAAGAGGAAGGGGAAGAGAAGAAGAGAGGCGCAUGGAGACUAACCCCAAUUUCGCUGCUUUGUACCCAUUUUCCAGGAUAAGCACCUCCACUCAAGACACACUUUCCGUCAGCCAAGUGAGUGUGCUCAGAAUGAAGAGGCUUCUGCCUGUUGCUCUUUUCCAUGUAAGAAGCUUCCCUAUACUUUCCAGCAAGGGUUUCAUCCCUCUUCUGCUCCCACACUGUGUGUCCAGCAGUUCAGAGAGGCAGAUUGUUAAACACAAGUCUUUGCCUAAAAAGGAACUUCAAACAAACACUCUGUUUUACUGUGAAGGGGUCAUACAGUGGAGGCAGUGACUUGUGUACUGAUGGACUGGCACAAAGAAAUGGGGAGGACUUAAUGGAUAAGAUUAUUUAAAGGCAGCCCCCCAUCUUAUACCAGCUACACCCGGAGGAGGCCCACCGCAAGGAACGAAAUCUGUAUUCAGGAUGUGAGGCUGCUUCUGAAGUACACGGAGAAUCAGUGAAAAUGGCCCAUUUUCAUUUUAAUGAAUCAUGCUGGAGAAUAAAUUUACAUGAUUUUAAUACUGAGACCUGGAGGAUGCUAUGUUAUAAUGCUCAUAAUAAAGGAUUUAGGAAGCAUGACAGUUCUGGGCUAUGAAUUCUGGUAAGCCACUCAUGUGUGACUUUGGAUAAGUUGCCUGAGCUCAGGGCUUCCUGGUAAAUUGAGAUGGAAGGCCAGGGAAGGCGGCACGUGCUGAAAAGCUGAAAACCAGCUCUGUGAGGCCAAAAGAAGAUAAACACAGCACCAGGCUUUGCUCCGCAUAUGCUCCUUGGAACUUUGCACAGAAAAGUGCUGCACAUGCUUGGGGGCCAUCCCUUGUGGGUUGUGCUCCUGAAGUGAACUGACAGCAGACUGAAGGCUUUCCUCGCAAGAGAUGGUGGCUGCA